rnacentral:lncRNA from 1 species
AAUGGGAUGUCUCUGGAGGACAUGUCACAGGGCGAACCAUGGCUGCCACAUUGUUGCCCAUAAAGUCAAACAGAAGGAACAAGCACUAGGCCUGACCAGGCAGGAUGUACACCAGCAGCUGCCUCCCAAUGCUUCAAGGUACCAAGAAUUGAGGAAUGCGUUCAAUAUUCUUUACUCCUUGGAAGCCAUCAAUCUUGAGGGUCUUUCAUCUGCAUCAAAAGCCUUCAUUAUAGGUGCCCCAACUUCAUGUGGCCCAUCUGAGAGACCUCCUGAGUUCCCCAAUAACAACUGAAGAUCUCCAUCUUUGAGUACUGUGCACACUGAAGUGUAAUACUCCGCAUGUGAACUGGAAAGGAUCAGAGUCAACUCACCACAUCAUCUGUCUUCCAUUCUCUAAACUCUUGGUAUUUUUUUCUCUCUGAACAAUAAAUGACUCUUCAAUCAGAAGUUUACUCUAAAACCUUCAGUAAAUAAAUGUCAAAGUCCCUUUUCCUUAAACAGAAACCCUCAAGAUAACCUGAUGCCCCCCCCCAAAAUAACCUUCCCAUAGGUUCCCCUAGAAACUGCUCCAAUUCAGGUUCAGAUUUACUCUUCUUUUAACUUAUGGAAACAAAUAUAGAAUUAUUCUCAAAUAAGGCUUUAAAAAU